rnacentral:rRNA from 1 species
UAGGGAAUCUUCGGCAAUGGGGGCAACCCUGACCGAGCAACGCCGCGUGAGUGAAGAAGGUUUUCGGAUCGUAAAGCUCUGUUGUAAGUCAAGAACGAGUGUGAGAGUGGAAAGUUCACACUGUGACGGUAGCUUACCAGAAAGGGACGGCUAACUACGUGCCAGCAGCCGCGGUAAUACGUAGGUCCCGAGCGUUGUCCGGAUUUAUUGGGCGUAAAGCGAGCGCAGGCGGUUUGAUAAGUCUGAAGUUAAAGGCUGUGGCUUAACCAUAGUACGCUUUGGAAACUGUUUAACUUGAGUGCAAGAGGGGAGGGUGGAAUUCCAUGUGUAGCGGUGAAAUGCGUAGAUAUAUGGAGGAACACCGGUGGCGAAAGCGGCUCUCUGGUCUGUAACUGACGCUGAGGCUCGAAAGCGUGGGGAGCGAACAGGAUUAGAUACCCUGGUAGUCCACGCCGUAAACGAUGAGUGCUAGGUGUUGGAUCCUUUCCGGGAUUCAGUGCCGCAGCUAACGCAUUAAGCACUCCGCCUGGGGAGUACGACCGCAAGGUUG